AUUGAACGCUGGCGGCAGGCCUAACACAUGCCAGUCGAGCGGAUGAAGGGAGCUUGCUCCUGGAUUCAGCGGCGGACGGGUGAGUAAUGCCUAGGAAUCUGCCUGGUAGUGGGGGAUAACGUCCGGAAACGGGCGCUAAUACCGCAUACGUCCUGAGGGAGAAAGUGGGGGAUCUUCGGACCUCACGCUAUCAGAUGAGCCUAGGUCGGAUUAGCUAGUUGGUGGGGUAAAGGCCUACCAAGGCGACGAUCCGUAACUGGUCUGAGAGGAUGAUCAGUCACACUGGAACUGAGACAACGUCCAGAAUCCUACGGGAGGCAGCAGUGGGGAAUAUUGGACCAUGGGCGAAAGCCUGAUCCAGCCAUGCCGCGUGUGUGAAGAAGGUCUUCGGAUUGUAAAGCACUUUAAGUUGGGAGGAAGGGCAGUAAGUUAAUACCUUGCUGUUUUGACGUUACCAACAGAAUAAGCACCGGCUAACUUCGUG
rnacentral:rRNA from 1 species